rnacentral:rRNA from 1 species
AUACGGAGGGUGCAAGCGUUACUCGGAAUCACUGGGCGUAAAGCGCGCGCAGGCGGUCUUUUAAGUUGGAUGUGAAAGCCUACAGCUCAACUGUAGAACUGCAUCCAAAACUAUUAGACUAGAGUCUGGGAGGGGAAGAUGGAAUUAGUUGUGUAGGGGUAAAAUCCGUAGAGAUAACUAGGAAUACCAAAAGCGAAGGCGAUCUUCUGGAACAGUACUGACGCUGAGGCGCGAAAGCGUGGGGAGCAAACAGUAUUAGAAACCCCAGUAGUCC